UACGAAGGGGGCUAGCGUUGCUCGGAAUUACUGGGCGUAAAGGGCGCGUAGGCGGACAGUUAAGUUGGGGGUGAAAGCCCGGGGCUCAACCUCGGAAUUGCCUUCAAUACUGGCUGUCUUGAGUAUGGGAGAGGUGAGUGGAACUCCGAGUGUAGAGGUGAAAUUCGUAGAUAUUCGGAAGAACACCAGUGGCGAAGGCGACUCACUGGCCCAUUACUGACGCUGAGGCGCGAAAGCGUGGGGAGCAAACAGG
rnacentral:rRNA from 1 species